GUAUAUGAAAAUAAUAUUAUUUUAAGGAUCUAAAACUAAUACUUUAAAUGAUAAAAAGGGAUAAAACCCAAUCAAAUCAUGAAAAUGAAGGAUAAAAAUCAAGUGGAAUGAAACAUCUGAGUAGCUUGAAAGUAACCAACAGGGGCAGUAUAUGUAGCGGUGAGCGAAAGUACUGUAGUCUUUAAGUAUCAUCAAGAGGUGAGAAUAAAGUAGAUUCUACUACUAAGACAAUAAAAGAGUAUUAAGUAAAAAGUACCGAGAGGGAAAAAGAGUAAAUAGAAUAAUAGAGAGCAGUCAUAGUAUGGCGUACCUCUUGUAUAAUGGGCCAGUGAGUUAUAUAUAUUAGCGUAGUAAUUUAUAAAUAAAUUGAGUAAAUCAAUCUUAAGUUAAUGUAUAUAGGCCCGAAAGCAGACGAUUUACACAUCUCCAAGACCCGACCUUGUAUUAGCAGAGUCGGGGUCUGAAUAGGUGGAUGUAGCAAUAUUCUCUAAAGAGGGGUGUGUAGAAGUGACAGACAAAUCUGGUUUGCCGAUAGCUGGUUUUCUGCGAAAUAUAUAUAAGUAUAGCCUUUACGAUGGAACACAUAUAAGUGAUUCCUAUGUAUUAACUGGUACAGCACUUAGAUCAUUUUGGGGGAUUAUAAUAUAAUUUUAUCAAAAGAUCUAAACCUCGGAACAGUAAACCAUAAAGUAAGGAGUCAGACUUAUUGCGAUAAGGUAGUAGGUCGAAAAGGAAACAACCUAGACUAUUAAAUGUAUGUCCCAUAAAUAUAUUAAGUGAACAAAAUCUAUUUUUUAUAGAUAGACAAUCAGUCAGCGGGUUUGACAAUAAUCAACUGUUAAGGGACAUGUAACAAUGUACUGAUGUGACAUAUUAAAUAGAGAAAAUAUACGGGUCUAAAUAUAUUACAGAAUAAUAGAUUUCAUGGUAGCAGAAUAUAUGAUAAAUAAUCAUAAAGAGAUUGCUGGCUUGAGUAACGAUAGGUAGUAUAAGACUACCCUCCAAUUCAUAAGGUUUUACUAUAAACUAACGGUCCCUAAGAUAAUAACAGAAAUGUUAAAUUGAUGGGAAAUAGAACAUGAAAAGAUAUAUUGAACCGUACUGUAGACCGACACAGGUAUGAUAAUAGGAGAAUGAGACAACUACUGUGAAUGAACUCGGCAAAUUAGCAUAAAGCUUUUAGUCGUGCGACUGUUUACCAAAAACAUAGCUUACUGCGUACUAGUAAUAGUAAGUAUAGUAAGUGAUAUCUGCCCGGUGUAUGCCCAAUAUAAUAAUUAUAUGAAAGUAUAAUCAUUGAAAAGGUGUGUUAACGGCGGUCUUAUUGUGAGGAUCCGAAGGUAGCGAAAUUCAUUGACGCAUAAUUGGUGUCCUGCAUGAAUGAAUACACGAUGCGACAACUGUAUCCAUAGUAGACUCAGUGAAAUAGCAUUCGCGGUGAAGAUGCCGUGUACCCGUAGAUUGACAAAAAGACCCUAUGCAGCUUUACUAUAUCUUUAUAUUGAAUACGACAACUAUUUAUUUCAGUAGAUUAGGUUUUUAAUAAUAAAGUAAAUGAGAUACCUAUAUAUUUAGUAAUAGAUUCUAAUCUAUAUUUAUAAUAUAAUUUAUAUUAUAUACCCUUAUGAGGGAUAAGAGACAGUGUAAAGAGGUUAGUUUCGAUGGGGCGUCGACAUCAGCGAAAGCAUCUGAUGUGUCUAAAAAUAAUAUAUUUUAUUAAUUUAAUUAUAUAAUAGCAAGAAAACGUACAAAAGUUCUAUAUAGCAAAUAGAAUAGUUUUAUGCUCAGCCUUCGGCUGGGCAUAAAACCAUAUGCAAGGAUAACAACAUAAUUGUGCGAUGAUAAUAACACUAACAAGUGGAAUUAGUACUUAAGUAGAGUGUAGUGAACAGGCAUAAACAUAAGAUAUGGAUGUCGAUAACGGAUUAAAGUUACGCUAGGGAUAACAGAGUAAUACCGCGUGAGAGUUGAUAUCGUCAGCGGUGUUUGCUACCUCGAUGUCGUCUAGACUCGUCCUCCUGGUCGCAGCAACUAGGUAGGGUAGGACUGUUCGUCCUCUAAGGAGUUACUUGAGAUGGGUUAAUUACGACGUGAGUCAGUAAUGAUUUUAUCAUCUAUGGGUUUUUUUCUUAUUCGUUGCCUCGAGUGUACGAAAGGAUAACGAGGUGUUUUCCUAUGGUUUUUUGUAUAUAUAUAUAUAUAUAUAUACAUAUUAGCUAAGAAAAUUGUGGAUACAUAUUGAAUGCAUCUCAAAUAUUAAACCCUACGAAUAAGUUUAAUCAUACUAUAUUAGUAUGUAAUAGUUUUAUGCCCAGCCUUCGGUUGGGUAACCCGGCUAUCGCCGGGUUUAUAUUUAUAUAAUAAUACUAAUUAAUAUAUUUCAUAUACCA
rfam:Debaryomyces hansenii mitochondrion, complete genome.